AGAUGUUUUUUUUUUCAUUCACCAUUUUAUCAUUCAUUAAGGUCUACUUGGAUGCUUUGCCAUUUCUAAUUUUAUUGAAAGCAGCUGGUCUGUAAAACACUACUGGUUCCUAGUAGAGCUCAUUGGCUAAUCCAGAGAGAAGAUUUAGCUACAAAUACCUAAAGGGCAUGAACCUGCUAAUCAAUGAUUUGGAAAAGUCACCUUCAAGGUUGUCAAAGUGCUACAUUAUUCUUUAUUUCUACUAGUGUGGAGGCAAAUAGUGUGCUCUCCAAGGUCCUGAUGUGGUAUUUCCUUAUCGCCAAUAGCCCCACUGAGAGAGAAGACAGCAAUUUCUUUGAACCAGGCACCCAAUCUGAUCAUCCCAGGCUCAACCAGGAAUUAAUGGAAGAGAGUAAAAUGAGACAUGACUUACCAUGUUUACUUUGUUCUCUUUAUCUACAAGGCUCAAAAGAUUAGGAAACAGAAGCAAAUGGAAGUUAAGUGACCUACCCAGGAUCACAAAGCUAGUAAGUGUUUGAGAUUGGAGGAAGGGAAUUGCUAAAUUUCAAAGCAUCAAAAGAAUGGUAAGGAAGAAUAAAGAGUCUCAUCAUCAUGCCAUGCAAAAAUCAGGUGAAGAAAGAGGGAAAGUUUUUGAUUUUUUUGUUUUUGUUUUUGGAUAAGAAAUGGUUUGGGGGUGACAAAAACCCUGUCUUCAGAUAUAUAAAAACCUGUUAUAUAGAAACAUUAGCCUUAUCCUACUUGGUCUCAGAAGGUAGAACUAGGAAUGGUGGGAAGAAACUAUAGACAGAGUCAGAUUUUAUCUUGAUAGAGGAAAAAAAAAGUUUUAUACUCUGUAGAGUUUUCCAAAAGUGAAACAAUCUGCCUCAGGAGGUAGUUGGGUCCUCUCAAUAUAUGUCUCUAAUUGAAUGGCCACCAUGGGUGUUUGAUGUGGAGAUGAUUCUUUUUCCAAUAUAGGUGGGAUUGGAAGGCUUAUGAAAUCCAUUCCAAAUGUGCAAUCCUGUGACAGUAUGUUUUGUGGCUAAGAGAGCAAAUAACUGAUAUUUCCAAAGCUUGAUGCAGGUUAAUUUCUGGGAGCCUUCAGCUGAAUAAUCUCUGCCCCAGCUUUAGAAAGCAACACUUUCUCAGUGUCAGUGUUUAUGUUGAAUUCUUCAGGUGAGUUGGGUCACCUGGCAAAUGGUCUGGGCACACAAAUAGGAUACUUUAUGUGAAAUAAGGACCUUCAGCAUAGUUUGGUGAAUGAGGGCAUAAGGCAGCAUGACAAUCUUGGAAGGCACUAGCUAGCUGGAGGAGGAAUGGCCACAUUGAAAACAGCAUUUUCUGAAAUUCUGUUAAACCAUUUGACUUUGAGAUUAAUGGAUAAGCUUUCUGUUUGAAGCACAGGAAUUAGAGCCAUUUCCUCCUAGGGCAUAAAGAGUCCUGAUAAGAAAUGGCAAUCGGAUUCCGUUAUUUUUUUUCAAUAGUAUUUUUUUACCCUUGCAAGAACCUUUCUUGAUCUUUAUCAGUCAUCAAUUAUAGGUUGCUUCAAAACUAUGAAACCUGCUGCAGCAAACAUUGCUGACCCCUCACCCAAUUGAGGAUAUCUCUGUGAGGAUUUUCCAUUUCAAAGAGAAACACCUUUUUUUCCCCUCUCACAUUCUCUCUUUUUAAAGCUUGAAAACCCACUCAACAGAAAUUGUUAAAUAAUGCUGCUAUUAAAAAAGGCUUUUCAAAGUUGAAAGCUCCAAAGGGGAGACACAAAAUUCCUUUCAAUAGUUCAGAGAGUCCCUUCUGACAUUCUUUCUUUAUUUGCAUUUUUAAACUACUGGCUUUGUAAUGGGAAAAAUUAUAUUCGGUUAUAAAGCUUAUCUUUGCAGUUUAGCUGAUGCUUGGUGCUAAGCUACAAUAUGCAAUCAUUGUUCAAGUUGGGAAUGAAAAUAGUUGUUGUGUUUUUUUUUUUUUUCAUUUGCUUGCCCUUCUGGCUGCUUAAUAAUAGUUGACCUGUACUUGGCUUGCAAGCAUCAAGGUCUGAUAAAAGCUAUUGCUUAGGAAAAUAUUUUGUAGAAUAAAGUACAGUAUGUCAAUAAGCAAAAGAAUAGAAUAUUUUUACCCUUGAGGGCAGAAUUUUCGGCUAUAGGAUGAGUUUCAAUGCUAAAAUAAUUUCAAUCAUCCAAACAAUAACAAUGAGAAGAAUUAUGUCCCUUCAGCUGUGUGACAGUGGAAAGAGCCCUGGUUAGAGGGAUAGGAAACCUGGAUCUAAAACCAGGCUGUUUGACUUGGCACAAGUCACUACACCUUUGGGAAUCUCAGCAUUCUUAUUAAAAAUUGGAGAAUUGAUAUCUGAAAUACUUCCCUCAGAGGGAUGUUAGGAAGCUCAAAUUAAAUAAUGUAUAUAAAAAGCACUUUGCAAUCUGCAAAAUAAAAAGAAGUAUUUUAUAAUGUUUUAAGGUUUGCAAAGUACACACACAGACACAUAUAAUCUCAUUUGUUUAUCAUAACAAUAAUAUGAUAUAGGUUCUUUUAUUAUCUCCAUUUGAAAUAUAAAGAAAAUCAGGCUAACUUAUUUUAAGUAACUUGCCAUAGCUAGUGUCUAAGGGAAUAUUUAAACUCAAGUCUCCUCCCUCUAAGUUCAAUGCUAUAUCUACUAUAAAACUAAGCUGCCUCUAAUACUAUUCAUAGGUAAUGAAGAAGAGAGAUAGCUAGAUAGACAGGCAGACAUAUAGACAAAUCAAUAGGUUGAUAGAGAGAUAGAUAGGUAGAUAGACAGACAGACAGACAGACAGGCAGUCAGAUAGAUAGAUAGAUAGAUAGAUAGAUAGAUAGAUAGAUAGAUAGAUAGAUAGAUGGAUGGGAAGAAAGAAAGAAAGAAAGAAAGAAAGAAAGAAAGAAAGAAAGAAAGAAAGAAAGAAAGAAAGAAAGAAAGAAAGAAAGAAAGAAAGAAAGAAAGAAAGAAAGAAAGAAAGAAAGAAAGAAAGAAAGAAAGAAAGAAAGAAAGAAAGAAAGAAAGAAAGAAAGAGAAAGAAAGAAAGAAAGAAAGAAAGAAAGAAAGAAAGAAAGAAAGAAAGAAAGAAAGAAAGAAAGAAAGAAAGAAAGAAAGAAAGAAAGAAAGAAAGAUGGAUGAAUAAAUUGAUUGAUGUUGGAUGAAUCAAAAGAUAGAGACAGAAACAGAGACACACACAGACAUAUGAUAGAUGCGAGAGAUAAAGAUAGAGAAUUAGAGCCUGUGGUUUCAAUGGUGUUUGUACCAAUGUAGAUUGUCAUCUAGUCUACAAUUCAUAGUCUUAGAAAGUUGUCUGAGCCACUGAGAAAUAACUUGAGCUCAUGACACAGCCUUUGAGUGACAGUAGUGGAACUUCAUCAUAGAUGUUGAUUCUAGGGUCAGUUUCCUUUGCAUAAAACCAUACUGCUUUUCCCUCUUUAUUACUAGGUUCAGAUAUAGAUUCUGCCUAAUGUUCAGUCUGGUAUUCUGAUGAUACAUUCACCUACUAUAAACUGUCUACUUAUGGAUUAGAUUUCUACUCUCUACUAUCUACAACAUGGGAGGUACUAUAUGUAUAGGUAUUAUAUAUAUGUGUGUAUAGGUAUGUGGGUAUAUCACUAAAAAUUUGUAUAGAAUAAAGCAUUUUUAAAUGAAGCAAAGGUCUGAUCUUUCCUCUUAUUUGGGGGAUGAGGAAUUUCCAAGCUUUGAUUUAUAGGUGAUUUGUUUUCCUUUUACAUCAUUAUUUUCCCCCAGUAUCACUUGCAGAACCCUUCCUUAUUAAGCAAAACAAGUUGAAGCAUACCAGAUCUGAUAGUAUAUUCAAUAUUCUAUAAUCAUGUCCCUUUAACUUUUCUACCAGGAAAUGAAAAAUAUGUUUUACCAGCAAACUGGUAGAAACAGCAACUAAAAUCCUCAAGUCAUACAUCUAUGGCAAUAGGACACUAGUUCACCUUGCUCUUUGUAAAACAUUUUCCUUCCCACAGUCUUAUGAGAUAGGUGAUGCCAAUGGUCAGUGGACAAGCCACUUCUCAAACUCUGGCCCUCUGACAGUGAGGCUAUUACUCUUUCCACUCUACCUACUGUAUCUCCUACUACAACUAGCUGUAUUAUUGUUUUAAAAGGGAAGAAAAGCACACUAAGAUACGAUCUUCCUCCAGCUUUCUUAGUCAUCUUGAGUAAACCAGAAACAAGCAGAAACACCAGGAUAAUAUAAACCACCACUCCAAUAGUCAAUUAAAGCCACUAAUGGCGAGAAGCACAAGUCAGAUAGAAGUAGUAUGGUAUAACCUCAUGGAGGUGAUGCACUGCCUCUGAGGGCACAAGAUUUAAGUGGGGGUGGGAGGAAAAUACUCUCCCCAAUGCCUCUUUGUAACACAGACCUGGAACUCAACUCUAACCUAUACAAGCCCUGGAAGCUUUCCCAGGAAAAGAGUACAAUAUCCAUAUGCUGGACCUCUCCAUCAUCUUGCCUACCUAAUGUAGCUGCAAGGAACUGGAUUACAGAUACUUUUCCAGGUUCUAAUAAGGAUUUGAAAAUAAAGUGGGUUAAAGAAAUACUUGAGGAAAAUGACUCUGUGGUCCCUGGAAAAAUAACAACAAAAAUCUAACAAUGAUGCCUCUCUUUGUGAAAUUGAUUUAGCAAUGAUAAAAUUAUACAUAGACUAAAUAUGAAGAGGCUCACUAGUUAUAUGUCCAUUCAGUAACAAUCAUAAGCAACAGUAUUAACAUCAAAAACUAAAAACAGGACAGGCUCCAUGUCACUGACCAGGUUUCAAAUCCCAGCUCUGUAGUUCAUGAUCUGUGAACUUGUGAAAGUUGCUUUACCUCUCCAGGCCUCAGUUUCCUUAUCUGUAAAAGGAACAGGUAUUAAGACUGCCCUCAAUAUUCCUUCCUCAACUAUAAUAUAUAUCCAAUCUAUGGUUAUAAUUUCUGGGUAAAAGGAAAAUCUAGGUUUUUCUCCCUUAAUGCAAUUUUAUAUUUGUACAUUGAGAUUAUCUGAGCCAGUUCUAUGAUAUUCAUGUUGAAUAGCUUUUGGUCAAAAACACCUUCCUAGCAGUCCAGAAGCAAGCCAUUGAUGUUUCAAUCUAUACUGAAAAUGAAUUUUAUCACAAGAUGAAUUAGAACUUUUGUUAUUAAUCCAUCACUAGCAUCCACAAUUAUUUAUUGAAAGUUUGGAUGAAAAUAUCUUCAUAGGUAAAUGGAAAUUGAUAGCUGGGUACUUUGUUCAAAACAAAAGCUCUUCCCUGGAUUUUUUGUAGCUAUAUAAUUCUGUUUAUUACUGGGAAAUGGCAUAAAGGUGUAACUACUGGUACAUGAGUCCCAUUGGGUCCUUGAGAACUUCCAGCAAGUGGAAUCAAUCAUAUAUUUAAAAUAGAUGUGGUUUUAAAUAAAUAUGCAUCAACUUAUAGAUUGAUCACUCAUUCAGCUAGCUUCUUUCAGAGGUUUUUAGGGUGCAAUUAAAUGCAAAGAAAGACUUCCCAAAGUCAGCCAGCUCUAUUUAGCCAGUAUUAAGACUCCUCUAGUGAUUCAACAUGAUCUCUAUUCUGUUUCUCUUUCUGCCUCCUUGAACAAUUGAACUCAGUGUCUCUUUCACUGGGUCCUUAUUCGUCUCUAACUUUCUAAAUGGGAAUAGGAUAAUAAAAACAUAAUUUGUGGUAGAACAUGACCAGGAUUAAAGAGGUUAUGUGACUUGUUCAAAGGCAUAAAUGUAGUAAAGCUGAUUUUUGAGCCCAGAUUCCAUUAAAAAUCCAGCCUUCUUUCCCUGAAACAUGCUGGUUGAGAGGCAGUGAGCUACAGCAAAUAUAGAAAUAGAGGAUAAGUAAUGAGACCUGAGAUCUAGGUUUAAGUUUACUAGAUUCUAGGUUUAGGUUUACUACUAUGAAGUAAUGGUACCUGAGGAAAAACACUUCUGCCCUCCUGUUCUUAUUUCCUCAACUAUUAAAUGACUAUGAGAUAUAAGAAUUAUUUUACCCACCUGUGAAUUGGCUUGAAAUGUACAGAUCCCAUAAUGACCCUGUUUAUCUUCUAUGUCAUUGUCUAUUUAUUUAUGUCUUCAGUUCUACUGUUCGGAUUGAGUUGCUUCUACUAAGGAAUUAGCUUCUAGAUGUUCUUGGCUUGGAAAUAAAAAGUAAAGCAAUUGUAUACAACUUUUCCUACACUACUGUCUUCUUUUUGUAGAUAUCUUGUGCAAGACCAAACAGAGAGAAUUUUAUUAUGAAACAAUAAGGCUCUAAAUUUAAGGUUUUUCGAUAAAUCUAACUACAGGAUUCUACCCUAUGCUUUCAGGAUAACUGCCAGCUGGAACACUUUCCCCACUUAACUCAAAGGAAUAUAAAAACCUAUCACUUGGAAUAGUAGAGGAAGCUGGGAGUUGUUACUUAGCUCUUGAGGGCACUGCAAUAUAGUGACCCUGGCUUCCUUGUUGUUUUUAGCAUAAUGGGGUACCCCUCCAAACUCCAAGAAUAUUCACUUGAUUGUUGCUCCAUGCCUGGAAUGUUCUCCCUCCUAAUUUCCAUCUCCUAGCUUUCAUUACUUCCUUCAAAUCUCAGCCAAAAUCCCAUUUUCUUGGUCCUCCUUAAUUUUAGUAUCUUCCUUCCCUUGAUUCUUUUUGACUUAUGCUGUAGAUAGCUUUUUACAUUGUUGUUUGCAUAUUAUAUCCUCCAAUAGACAAGUUGUUCCUUAAAAAGAGGGACUUUUUGCCCUUUUUAUCUUCAGAAGAGUGCCUGAGGAAUAGGAGGACCAAAAGGAUAAUUGAGUGACUGACUGAUGUUUACAAGUGUUCCUUCUCUUUUGACUUCAUCUUCUAUUGUAACUCUGAGUAGAAUAGUUUCCAGUGGUCUCUUAAUGACUAAAUCAAAAUCAUUUUUUCUGACUUUUUUCAUCUUUUGACACUGUGGAUGAGUGUAUUGAACUCAAAUAGAACUCAGAACCAUUAAACCAUAUCUGAUGCAUAUUAAUUUAGUUUUAAAAUGAAAUGUUAUUUAAAAAAAACAAAAAAUUAAUGUUAUCUAUGUUUUAUUGUAUUUGUAUUUAUUUUGUUAAGUAUUUCCCAAUUACACUUUAAUCUGGUUUGGGCUGCUUGUGAGUUCCAUGUUUGACAUCUCUGAGGUAGAUCACCUUCUUCUUGAAACAUUUUACUCUCUAUGAUUUCAUUACAUGGCAUUCUCCUUGUUCUCCUUUUACCUGUCUAAGCACUCCUUUCCAGUCUCUUUUGCUUGAUCUUCAUCCAUGUCAUGAUCAGAAACUGUCUGUGUCACAUAGGACUCUUUUCAUGAACUUUCUUCUUCUCUACCUGCAUACUAUUUCAUUUAGUGAUUUCAUUAUCUUAUCUCCCUUGUAUUCAACUAUUAUCUUUAUGCAAAUUGUUCUCUGGUUCAUUUUUCCAUUCUUAACUUCUCUCCAACCUACUGUUUCAUAUCUCUAACUGCCUAUUGAUCAUCCAGAAUUAAAUAUUCAUCUUGAAACUUAGCAUCUUUUAAAACUGAAUUAAAUGUCUUUCCCCUUUCUCUCUACCUUUUCUCUAAUUUUCCUAUUACAUCCAAGAACUUCACCAUCCUCCCAGUCACUCAGACUUACAUUUUAUAUAUCAUCCUCAACUCCUCCUUCUCCCAUCCCUCCUAUCCUGUUACCAAAUCCUAUUGAUUCUAUGUUUUAGAUGUGUGUCCUUUAUACCACCUUUUGUCUUCUAAUCUGCCAUUACCCUGGUUUAAG